UCGAUUAAGUCAAUACAAUUGAAUACAAAAAACAGUUUUAAUCGAUUUAAUCUAUGAAGUGAGCAGGCGCAAGCACACUUCCACACACUGGAAGCUCUCCAAAUUCAAUUAGCUUCGAUCAACUCGAUCAGUUGGUGCGCAUUGUUGUCACAAUGUUUGCCCUCUUUUCUGCAUUGGCAUUUAUGCCAAGACAAACCGAGACAACUUCAACGCCAACCAGUGCAGCUCUCAAGUGCCCCGAAGGCUGAUAGAUAUGUAUAAAGUACUACUAUUAUAUUAUUACGUCGAAGACUCUCUAGUGUCUUAUUUAUGUAUAAAUAAACAUCUGUCUAUCAACGUGUACUAUAUCCCUCAGACUUCGCUCCGGAUUAGAUAAGAAGUGCAAUUUUGAUUGUAACUAUGCAGAGCGGAACUGCAAUUUAUCGGGCAGGUGUGGUUCAAGAUUCUAAUCGGGAUCAAUGUGCAAGUGCCUUCACCUCUCAGAGUUCCGGUUAGUUCUUCUACAAUAGCAACGGUAUCAUGUGAAUUGGGCAAAUCAUUAUCAGCUUCGCAUCCCGUGGACUUCUAUUCGUCUGUCUGUUGGUGCAAAUGUCUAAAACGUUUAUCACUUGCUUCGUUCCAGGGCAUGGCUUGGCACACGAAUACGUGCUUAGCUUCGAUUGCAAAUCGCAGAUCGUGUUACGGGGAGACUUGUACCCACUUGUUCGAUGCCUGUGCCGUGUGUCCCUGUCUUCUAUGUGUGCGUGUGUGUGCGUGUGUAUGUGUAUGUGUGUGUGUGUGGCGUGGCGUGGCGUUGCGACCACUCGACGGUUUAUUAAAUAGAUUAAUUAGCAAAUAUUAUGAUUAUAGCGUUCAGUUCAGUUGAGUGCACAUACUUUUUAAGUGGUGCUUAUAUGUGUACAACGUUGUACAUACAAAUCUCUAUAUGCAUGUAG